rnacentral:rRNA from 1 species
GACGAACGCUGGCGGCGUGCUUAAUACAUGCAAGUCAACUGAGCUUAAGAUAGCAAUAUUUUUAGGUGCGGUGGCGCACGGGUGAGUAACACGUAGGUAAUCUGCCUUUAGGUCUGACAUAAUCCCGCGAAAAGCGGGACUAAAAUCAGAUGAUGCAGCGGCUCGACAUCGAGACAGUUGUUAAACCUUCGGGGCCUAAAGAUGAGCCUGCGUCUGAUUAGGAGUUGGCGGAGUAAAAGCCCACCAAGCCUGCGAUCAGUAGCUGGGUCUGAGAGGAUGAUCAGCCACACUGGAACUGAGACACGGUCCAGACUCCUACGGGAGGCAGCAGUAAGGAAUAUUGC